rnacentral:Y_RNA from 1 species
AGCUGGUCCGAGUGCGUUUACAGCUAAUUGAUAACAACCAGUUACAGAUUUUUUAAUUCUUCUCCACCCCCACUGCUUCACUUGACUGACUAGCU